rnacentral:rRNA from 1 species
GUGAGGAAUAUUGCGCAAUGGAGGCAACUCUGACGCAGCCAUGCCGCGUGCAGGAAGAAGGCGCUACGCGUUGUAAACUGCUUUUAACCGGGAAGAAACCCCAGGACGUGUCCUGGGUUGACGGUACCGGAGGAAUAAGCACCGGCUAACUUCGUGCCAGCAGCCGCGGUAAUACGAAGGGUGCAAGCGUUAUCCGGAUUCAUUGGGUUUAAGGGGUGCGUAGGCGGAGCGUUAAGUCAGUGGUGAAAUCCUGCAGCUUAACUGUAGACUUGCCAUUGAUACUGGCGAUCAUGAGUGCGCUUGAAGUGGGCGGAAUGUGCCGUGUAGCGGUGAAAUGCUUAGAUAUGGCACAGAACACCAAUUGCGAAGGCAGCUCACUAAGGCGAUACUGACGCUGAGGCACGAAAGCGUGGGGAUCGAACAGGAUUAGAUACCCUUGUAGUCC